UGGUAACGAGGGGACAGCACCCGCGGUAAGCAGGUAGGGGCGAGCGUUUACCGGAAUUACUGUGCGUUAAGGAUGCGUAAGUGGAUACUUAAGUGUGAGUGGAAAUCCCCGGGCUCAACCCGGGAACUGCAUUCCAAACUGGGUAUCUAGAGUGCAGGAGAGGAAAGCGGAAUUCCUAGUGUAGCGGUGAAAUGCGUAGAUAUUAGGAGGAGCACCAGUGGCGAAGGCGGCUUUCUGGACUGUAACUGACACUGAGGCAUGAAAGCGUGGGUAGCAAACAGGAUUAGAUACCCCAGUAGC
rnacentral:rRNA from 1 species